ACACGUGGAUAACCUACCUAUAAGACUGGGAUAACUUCGGGAAACCGGAGCUAAUACCGGAUAACAUAUUGAACCGCAUGGUUCAAUAGUGAAAGGCGGCUUUGCUGUCACUUAUAGAUGGAUCCGCGCCGUAUUAGCUAGUUGGUAAGGUAACGGCUUACCAAGGCAACGAUACGUAGCCGACCUGAGAGGGUGAUCGGCCACACUGGAACUGAGACACGGUCCAGACUCCUACGGGAGGCAGCAGUAGGGAAUCUUCCGCAAUGGGCGGAAGCCUGACGGAGCAACGCCGCGUGAGUGAUGAAGGUCUUCGGAUCGUAAAACUCUGUUAUCAGGGAAGAACAAAUGUGUAAGUAACUGUGCACAUCUUGACGGUACCUGAUCAGAAAGCCACGGCUAACUACGUGCCAGCAGCCGCGGUAAUACGUAGGUGGCAAGCGUUAUCCGGAAUUAUUGGGCGUANAGCGCGCGU
rnacentral:rRNA from 1 species